GUGUCAGCAGCCGCGGUAAUACGUAGGUGGCAAGCGUUGUCCGGAUUUACUGGGCGUAAAGAGCGCGCAGGCGGUUGAUUAAGUCGAAUGUGAAAGCCCCCGGCUCAACUGGGGAGGGUCAUUCGAUACUGGUCGACUUGAAGGCAGGAGAGGGUAGUGGAAUUCCCGGUGUAGUGGUGAAAUGCGUAGAUAUCGGGAGGAACACCAGUGGCGAAGGCGACUACCUGGCCUGUUCUUGACGCUGAGGCGCGAAAGCUGGGGGAGCAAACGGGAUUAGAUACCCCGGUAGUCCCAGCCGUAAACGAUGGACACUAGGUGUUGGUGGUAUCAACCCCGCCAGUGCCGUAGCUAACGCAUUAAGUGUCCCGCCUGGGGAGUACGGCCGCAAGGCUAAA
rnacentral:rRNA from 1 species